rnacentral:rRNA from 1 species
GACGAACGCUGGCGGCGUGCCUAAUACAUGCAAGUCGAACGCAGUGGGGACGGGUGAGUAACCCGUGGGUAACCUCCCAUCAGAGGGGAUAACACUUGGAAACAGGUGCUAAUCCGAUACUGAUGGAUGGUCCCGCGGUGCAUUAGUUAGCUGGGGAGGUAACGGCUCACCAAGGCCACGAUGCAUAGCCGGCCUGAGAGGGGGAGCAGCCACACUGUGACUGAGAGACGGCCCAGACUCCGACGGGAGGCAGCAGUAGGGAAUCUUCUGCAAUGGGCGAAAGUCUGACCGAGCAACGCCGCGUGAGUGAAGAAGGUUUUCGGAUUGUAAAACGCUGUUGUUAGAGAAGCGGUAUCUAACCAGAAAGCCACGGCUAACUACGUGCCAGCCGCCGCGGUAAUAC